rnacentral:rRNA from 1 species
CCUACGGGUGGCUGCAGUGGGGAAUAUUGGACAAUGGGGGCAACCCUGAUCCAGCCAUGCCGCGUGUGUGAAGAAGGCCCUCGGGUUGUAAAGCACUUUCAGUGAGGAAGAACGCCUGGUGGUUAAUACCCAUCAGGAAAGACAUCACUCACAGAAGAAGCACCGGCUAACUCCGUGCCAGCAGCCGCGGUAAUACGGAGGGUGCGAGCGUUAAUCGGAAUUACUGGGCGUAAAGCGCGCGUAGGUGGCUUGAUAAGCCGGUUGGGAAAGCCCCGGGCUCAACCUGGGAACGGCAUCCGGAACUGUCAAGCUAGAGUGCAGGAGAGGAAGGUAGAAUUCCCGGUGUAGCGGUGAAAUGCGUAGAGAUCGGGAGGAAUACCAGUGGCGAAGGCGGCCUUCUGGACUGAUACUGACACUGAGGUGCGAAAGCGUGGGUAGCAAACAGGAUUAGAUACCCUGGUAGUC